rnacentral:rRNA from 1 species
GAUGAACGCUAGCUACAGGCUUAACACAUGCAAGUCGCGGGGCAGCAUGAAUUUAGCUUGCUAAAUUUGAUGGCGACCGGCGCACGGGUGAGUAACGCGUAUCCAACCUCCCCUUAUCCACGGGAUAGCCCGUCGAAAGGCGGAUUAAUACCAUAUGAGGUCAUUUGAUGGCAUCUGAUUAUGACGAAAGGUUUGGCGGAUAAGGAUGGGGAUGCGUCCGAUUAGCUGGUUGGCGGGGUAACGGCCCACCAAGGCGACGAUCGGUAGGGGUUCUGAGAGGAAGGUCCCCCACAUUGGAACUGAGACACGGUCCAAACUCCUACGGGAGGCAGCAGUGAGGAAUAUUGGUCAAUGGGCGGAAGCCUGAACCAGCCAAGUAGCGUGAGGGAUGACUGCCCUAUGGGUUGUAAACCUCUUUUAUAAGGGAUAAAAUACGGGACGUGUCCUGUUUUGCAUGUACCUUAUGAAUAAGGACCGGCUAAUUCCGUG